AGUUUGAUCCUGGCUCAGGAUGAACGCUAGCGGCAGGCUUAACACAUGCAAGCCCAGGGGCAGCGAGGGGAGCAAUACCUGUNNNNNNNNNNNNNNCACGGGUGCGUAACGCGUAUGCAACCUACCUUUAACUGGAGCAUAGCCCCGAGAAAUCGGGAUUAAUACUCCAUAACAACAAGAAGUGGCAUCACUUUUUAUUUAAAGCUUUGGCGGUUAAAGAUGGCCAUGCGUGGCAUUAGUUAGUUGGUGAGGUAACGGCUUACCAUAGCUACGAUGUCUAGGGGUUCUGAGAGGAUGAUCCCCCACACUGGUACUGAGACACGGACCAGACUCCUACGGGAGGCAGCAGUGAGGAAUAUUGGUCAAUGGGCGAAAGCCUGAACCAGCCAUGCCGCGUGAAGGAUGAAGGCCUUAUGGGUUGUAAACUUCUUUUAUACGGGAAUAAACUUAGCUAUAUGGGAAGGAAUGACGGUACCGUAUGAAUAAGCACCGGCUAACUCCGUGCCAGCAGCCGCGGUAAUACGGAGGGUGCAAGCGUUAUCCGGAUUUAUUGGGUUUAAAGGGUCCGCAGGCGGACCAAUAAGUCAGUGGUGAAAUCUCUCGGCUCAACCGAGAAACUGCCAUUGAUACUGUUGGUCUAGAGUGUAGUUGGCGUAGGCGGAAUGUAUCAUGUAGCGGUGAAAUGCUUAGAUAUGAUACAGAACACCGAUCGCGAAGGCAGCUUACGAAACUACAACUGACGCUCAGGGACGAAAGCGUGGGGAGCGAACAGGAUUAGAUACCCUGGUAGUCCACGCUGUAAACGAUGAUAACUCGCUGUCGGCGAUAAACAGUCGGUGGCCAAGCGAAAGCGAUAAGUUAUCCACCUGGGGAGUACGAUCGCAAGGUUGAAACUCAAAGGAAUUGACGGGGGCCCGCACAAGCGGAGGAGCAUGUGGUUUAAUUCGAUGCUACGCGAAGAACCUUACCAGGGCUUGACAUGCUAAUGACGUACUGGGAAAGGGGUAUUUCUUCGGACAAUCUACAAGGUGCUGCAUGGUUGUCGUCAGCUCGUGCCGUGAGGUGUCGGGUUAAGUCCCAUAACGAGCGCAACCCCUACUCUUAGUUGCCAGCAUGUAAUGAUGGGGACUCUAGGAGGACUGCCUACGCAAGUAGUGAGGAAGGUGGGGAUGACGUCAAAUCAGCACGGCCCUUACGUCCAGGGCUACACACGUGCUACAAUGGCCGGUACAGAGGGCAGCCACCUGGUGACAGGGAGCGAAUCUCUAAAGCCGGUCUCAGUUCGGAUCGAAGUCUGCAACCCGACUUCGUGAAGCUGGAAUCGCUAGUAAUCGCGCAUCAGCCAUGGCGCGGUGAAUACGUUCCCGGGCCUUGUACACACCGCCCGUCAAGCCAUGGAAGCUGGGGGUACCUGAAGUCGGUUACCGCAAGGAGCUGCCUAGGGUAAAACUAGUAACUGGGGCUAAGUCGUAACAAGGUAACC
rnacentral:rRNA from 1 species